AAAGGUUGGGUAUGCGAUUUGCGAAACGCCAGCAGAUUUUGAAAAUACACAACUCAAAUGGUCCUACCCAGAGCUAUAGAGAGAGAGAGUUGCGACACUUCCAUUGGACUCCGUUGUAGCGCCUACUUCCGGGGUAUGGAGCCUCGAAUAGUUCCAAACAACCAUUUUACGGUGUAGGAGACCGUUCAUUUCCAUUGCUGGCCGCCGAGUAACUUCUGAGAUAAAUUGAUUAAAUAGCUACCUCUUUUGAAUUGUCAACCGUCUAUAUUGUAUCAGAGGCCCUUUAUGAUGCAUAUACUGAUCUUUAUUUGUAAAUGCACAGCGUAAUUAUAUAUAUAUUUAUCUUGGUAGACGACCGAUUGCUUGCUAGUUUGUUAGCUCGAUUUCACCAUCUGUGAAGGUAUCUCCAGGGGUAAAUUGAUUAAAUAGCUACCUCUUUUGAAUUGUCAACUGUCUAUAUUGUAUCAGGACCUUUAUGAUGCAUAUAUUGAUAUUUAUUUGUAUAUGCACAGCGUAAUUAUAUAUAUUUUUAUCUUGGUAGACGACCGAUUGCCUGCUAGUUUGUUAGCUCGACUGCACCAUGUGAUGGUAUCUACACCAACAAUUACAAAGUUCAGUACUAGUGAAUCUAACUUUUAUUUAGUUAGUUAUUUAUGUUGGAUUACUAGGAUAAUUUAGGUUGAUUUAAGGACGGGUUUUAUGAUGCGAUAGCUAGUAGAAAUAACAGUGUUUGUUUAAUUAUAUCCUGGAAAGGGUGAUGUUCAGCACAUGAAGCCCUACAGAUGCCGCCGAUUCAACAAUGCUGAUUAUGAUGGGCGGUCAAUUUAACCUUUGCCUUAUUAGGUCCUCCACAGUCGCCCCAUCAGUCCCUGGCAGUCUGGUCCCUGGAGCAGCUGGCCCUGGCAAAAGUUAUUCCUUCACUGUUGACCCCUGGCUGACUGGCCCUCGGCACACAAAUCCCUGGAUCACCCGCCACUGGAUCACCCGCCCCUGGAUCACCUGCCCCUGAAUCACCUGCCCCUGGCAAUGUGGCCUCUUGAUUGCUCUCUCUGUCUCCUGUGAUGUCCUUUUCAACGCUCUUGAAAUCCACCUAAAUUUCUCCCUCAAUCUCUGUAACAAUUACAAGGUAAUGUUGCUGUUAUAUGUAUUUUGCCUUUGCAUUUGCAACUACUGUCAUCUCCAAUGUAAGAAAAUGAAUUAAAGCAAAACAUUUCUGUAAUGUGAAUUAAAUCAUCUGCCACAAUCAGAAACCAAUACAAUUUAUAAAUGGA